rnacentral:rRNA from 1 species
UACAGAGGUCUCAAGCGUUGUUCGGAUUCAUUGGGCGUAAAGGGCGCGUAGGCGGUGGGGUAAGUCGGGUGUGAAAUCUCAGAGCUCAACUCUGAAACUGCACUCGAUACUGCUCUGCUUGAGGACUGGAGAGGAGACUGGAAUUCACGGUGUAGCAGUGAAAUGCGUAGAUAUCGUGAGGAAGACCAGUGGCGAAGGCGGGUCUCUGGACAGUUCCUGACACUGAGACACGAAGGCCAGGGGAGCAAACGGG